GGUUGUAGCUCAAUGGUAGAGCACUUGCCUAGCAUGCAAGAGGCACUGGAUUCAAUCCCCAGCGCCA
rnacentral:tRNA from 1 species